CUUAAAGUGAAACUUAUAUACAUUGCUGUCUCAAAAGGGAGUACAAACACUGAAUAUACAAAGGUUCUCAAUCCUUCAUACAUCCAGCCCGUGCCGAAAGGUAGGGCGAGAACCAUUACAAAAAUCUGAAACUAGUCUAGGCUAGUCUAUACCGAACUCUCGUCCUUGCUCGCCUUCCCCUGUUAAGGAAAACAAAACUAAAGGGAUGAGCUAAUAACUCAGUGAGGUUCCGAACACAUAAUCAAACAAUAAGUUCAAUGUAUUAACCAUAAAUAAUCAAUAAUUCAAGAAACAUUUACAAUGGAAAGCAGUACUAACAUAUUCAUUAAAAGGAUACGUGCUCACAGGGAGUCAUUCAUUCAUUCAUUCGUUCAUUCUCCUUUCAUUCCCUUAUUCCUCCAAUCAUUUGAAAUGCAUUUUGAUAAGUAAAACCCCUCAUUUGCAUUGACAAUCGUUCAUUCAUUUCAUUCACCCCCUCCUGGACGUUGGCCAGGCUCCACCAGACUACAAGGUAAUACUUGAGUAUACCAAACAUUCACCCAGGAUUACCAAAUCGCCCGACCGAGUCCGCUUCUGGCUCGAGUCAAUCGGUAACGAAGGGCAGGGCCCAGUUCAGCCAUCAGGCUUACAUUCAUGCACAUAUAAUCAUUCAAUCAUUGUAAAUUUCACAUUCAUUUAGGUCGAGUGCGAUAAAGUACACACUCGCCUAGAAAACUCUUUUUCAGCAAUCAUUGAAAACAUCUAACAUGUGACCAUUCAUUCAUAACAAGUCAUAUAAUCAAGAACAAGCCACAUAGUCAACGAAAUUAUAACAAACAAGGAACACUCACCUAUUUACGCAAAAUAAAAUCCAAAGUGUUCUUCCGGGUAUUACCCUUAAUCACCAAGGGACCCUAAUAUAAUCAAAAGAACACAUUAUGCUUCAACCAUCAAAGAUGUAAGUGAUUCACAGAAAAUUUUAAUACGUACUAGUACAAAGUAUAAAUAUGGUUUUGGUAGUGAAAAGAGUACAUUGAAACCAAAGGACAUAAGUUAAAUAUUUGUAAAACUUAUGCUCACUCGUAAAACUUUAAAAUCUCCAUGUGAGUCGAAGUGACAAAGAAAAUGUAAAAUUUCAUUUUUCCAAGGGUAUAAGUUUCGGCCGAAUUUUAACUUAUAUACCUCGAUAAAAGAAGACGUAAAUACCCUAGAUAGUUCAUGUGGUAUUCACUCUCAAGCCUUACUCAAGUCGCAAGUAUAUCGACCUAGUUCUAGAGCGUAAAUUUGGGCAGCACGCCCUUUGUAUUUACCUAUUUUCCAGCCAUUUAUGGCUUCAUUCUUUUCCUCAAUCAAUCCCAAAGUCACACACAAAAUCAUCUCAUUUCAAUAGCCAUUCCAUAGGCUCCAAGUCAUACAAGUACAAAAUCAAGCUAGGAACAUGUGCGGAAAUGAAGGUUGAGUCAAGAAACAAAAGACAGAUUUGACGUUAUUUUCCGUAACGGACACAACCAAGGCUACGCUUAUCGGAUUGAGGUACAAUUUAUACCGUUUCGAAGCUAAGAAAAAGGGCUACAAUUUUGACGAAGACCACUUAGUCCAGUUUGUGAGGCCCCAGUCCGAUCGUAAGUCGAUAUUAGGGUUAUUUGAUAUUCGGUAUGGAAAAUAGGGUUUUAUGGCUAGGAAGGAAACCCUAAUUCGGUUAAGUUUGAAAAUCCUAGUUUACGUAUUAUUAUUAUAAGGUUCAAGCUAUAAUUUAUAUUCGGUAUUCUAGUGUGUGCCUUGACGUAAGUAAAUAUAGGAUUUGUUUUAAUUACAAAGGUUUAGUAAGUUUGAAUGAUUAGCAAACCUCUAGUGUUACAAUAUUAGAAAGUUUAAGUGGAAGAUUAUUUAUCGCCCGCCUUUUCUACAUUUUCUUUAUUAGAAAAAUUUCCAGGAUAAUUUUUAUGAGUAAAUAUGGGUUUUAGAUGAUUUUUCAAGUAUCGGUUAGCUUUUGAGAAAAUAAGAACGUAUAUCGGAUGUGGGACCCACUGUGCGGAAAGUUCGGAAAAAUUCGGCCAAUUAGGUUAAAUUCUGGAUACUGUGUAAAAUUUAUCGGGUGCUAAGAGAUAAGUAGAGGAUGUGAAGUGAUUGAUGUGAGAGGAAAAAGAAAAGAUAAGAUUGCAUUUAAGGAGUGACAAGUGUCAACCUUUUAUUGGAUUUGACUUAUGGAACACUAUUCAUGUUUUUGACUUUUGACCCAAUUAGUUAAAUAUCUUAAAAAUUACCACAAAAUUCACUCUUUCUUACCUCCUUAUGGCCGGCCCUCUCUAGCAAGAAGAAAGAAAAAACUCUUCAAAGUUUAACUACUACUUAGCUCAAAUCAACCAAAACAAGUGCUUAAGUUAGUUUCCACUCCAUAAAAACCUUCUCUUUGGUGUUAGUGAGUGAUUUGGUGAAGUUUUCUUGGAGAGCUAAGGUGUCCUACAACUUCCCCUCUCUUGUUUACUAGGUAAGUGAUGCUUAAACUUCCUCCUAUACUUAAUGAUGUUUAAUUUGUGCCUAAUGGGAGCUAAAGUGAUGGAUUAUGUGAUUUAUUUCUUGGUUUGUGAUGAAUUGGUGAAGUUUUUAUUUUUUUGAGGAAUUUUCUGGUUUAAUUUGAUCAUGGUGUUGUGGUUGUUUAUGAUGGUUGAUGAUGAGGGGUUAUGACUCUAGUAGGUGUGAAUUAUUGAUAAAUGCAACCAAUUUUGGGUUUGGUUUGAAAUGGGAAAAGUUAGGGUUUCAUAACCCCCUUUUCUGUCCGGUUUUGGAUCAUGUGGUUAGAGGCCGAAUUGGUCUUUUCUUAAAACAUAAAAGUUGUAGGUAUUGAUGUGUUUGAGGUGCCUGUAAAAUUUCAGGUGAUUUAGAUUAGUGUAGAGUGAGAUAUGUCGAUUUUACUGUUGCUGUUCUGGGUUAAUCAGAAUGUGCGAACUGUGUUUGAAAUGGGUUGUUUUGACUGGUAUUUCUUUGGAUUUGGAUGUUGGUGUCUUCUGAUGAAAUGUAGCUAGAUGUCUUAGCUAUCAUAUGACUUUGGAAUUUCUGGAUUUGGACUUGUGUAGGCUGAGUUAUGAUGUUUGUACUAGAAUACGGUUUGUGAUCCUGUUUUACGAUUCUGGUAUAGUGUCUUGCAUUUUUGACCUUGUUACAUUCAAAAUUGGACAAAGUUUCCUUCUUCAAAAUUGUAUCCCCUUAAGUCCUGGAUAUCCCUGUAAAUUUUCAGGUUAAACGGAUUAGUAUAUCCUGAGUUAUAACGAAAUACUCAGACCUGUUGUGACCGUCAAAUUCUGUUACGUUUUUGGAAAGUUUCUGACCGUGAUUUUUUUCGAUUUUGAUAGAGUACGAUCUGGGUGUCGACUUCUUCAUAAGAAAUGUAGAUCUUGGCCACAGCUUUGAAACGCUAUAAAGUGCGUCAAAAUCCGAGUCCCGUAGCUCCAGUUCUGAUCGAAAUAAGAAUGCAUGUCAGAACUGUUUUUAUAUCCGGACAGUUUACGACUGGAACUUUGGCUUCACAUUUGACUAGGUUACAAGCUGUUUGAGCUUGCGACCAAAACACCAAACUUAUAGCCCUAUAUCAGAGCUUUCUAACACCCUUGGAAAUUCAUGAAUCGGAUUUAUAAAACCUGAGAUAUAGCCGAGCAAACAAGGCCUGCCCGUGAAAAUGACCAUUUUCUGGUCAGAUCUGUUUUGGUCCUGAUGACCAAUUUCCGUUCCGAAUUUGGAGUGCCGACCUUCAUGAAAGUUGUUCCAUUUGGAAUGAACCAUCUAACUGCCAAUUUUCAACUCUUUUGACCAUGUGUAGCAUGGAAAACAGUUUGCACUCAAAACUGACCAUUUGUGUAUUGGCCAGAUUUCGUAAGUGAUUGUGUUUGGUUCAUUUGGGACUGAAGCCUCCAGUUUCAAUUCUGGAUGUCUUCAUAACAGUUGUUGUUCAUCCUUUAAGCUUCGAUAUGGCAUCUCAUACGCCUUAAUCCGAUAUUCGUAGCUCAACUUAUGAGUAAACUAGAAACGAGUGUCAAAUCUGCCGUUUCCGCUAACGGCCGUUUCCGUUUCCGUCCGUCGUAUUGACGUGCGCGCGUGUCGUUUUUGCCGUUUUGCUUGUUUUAGGUACGAUAGUAGCCGUUUGCGAUAUUAUGUGACACAAUCUUCUAUUUCAGACGGUGGUGAGCUGGGCGGAACUGGUGGGGCCCACUACUAGCUGUUCAUUUCGAUCCGACUUCGUGUUUUUGCUAUUUCAGAUUCUGAGUAAGUAUUCAGGCCAGUUUGGUGUAUUUUCUUUGCUAUGUGUUUGAGAUGUGUGAAAAGGGUACUUAGGCGAGGGUGUAAUUUAUCGCACUCGACCUAAACCCUAAUUUGAAUGUAUAAUUGUACUUGGCAUAUGUAUAUGAACCUUUUGGAACCAAAACCCUUGAGCUUGUGGCUCGGGGUGACUUUCGAGUAAAGUUUGUGAAGUUUGCAAAGUUUGUGAGUUCGUGGGCCCGAUCUAAGACCUGUAUGGACUAUUCGAGCCGGUUAGGGUUUGGUCGAAAUCAGUCCAACUUAGUCUGAGGUCACCAAGUUUGUAGGUUCAUGUUAUGAACCAAUUUUGUGAAUCCGAUUCACCGAGAAGGUGACCAAGUUUGUGAACCGAGCUUGCGCCGCAAGUUCAAUUUCGUUCGCUCGAGCAAGUUUGUGAGGUGACUGGCCAGUGAGGGUGAUAAGGUGCUCGGUGGGUGUACAAGCGGGGUUCUACGGACUAUUAUUUGCGGUCGACGGAGUGUCGGCAGGAGAUCACGUAUGGCAUAUGAAUUGGCUUUGGAGCCACCUGUAUCCUUAUUAUGUGAUGUUACUUUUCUGCUUUUGCUUUAUUCCUACUGUGUAAAUGUGGUUACGUGAAAUUUACGUUUUACCCUGUUUACUUACUAAGCUUCUAGCUUACCCCGUUUCCUUUGUUUUCCUUAGCAGGGGACGACGCGGGGAACUUUGGGACUCUGCCGUUAGUAUAGUUAGGUCUCGUUUGUAAUAGUUGGACAGUUAGGAUGUUUGUUCUAGUUUUGGUGGUUUGUAUAAGGACCUUCCUUAGGGUCUAUGUUUUGGUUUUGGUGGCAAUUAUAAGGAUGUAAUAGUGUGAGCAGGUACUUUUGAGAAUGUAAUUAUAACUCUUUUGGGAUUGUAUAUAGAAAUCUUUUGAAUUUUCCGGCGUUUAUUGUUUUAAGUUUUGAGUCCUGGCGCGAGCUAGGCAGGCGGCCCGCCGAUACCCUCGGGUUCGCCCUUGGGAGAAGUGGGGUCGUCACAGUUGGUAUCAGAGCCAUAUGCCGACGGUUGGGACUCUACGUCCUUUUACUGGAAAAGCCCCGAGCCUCUCGUUCGUGAAGAGUCACGAAGCGAAACUCUCCGUAGGGGAUGCCCGCGUGCGGGUGGCAAGCUGAUAGGUACCUUGUGAUGUGACCCUGAGAACUGUCACAGUUGGUAUCAGAGCGCCUAGGUUAGAGGACUUGGGCAAUUGUGGGACAUACGUGAUAGGUUUAUUAGGAUGACUUAGGAUUAUGUGAUUCUCUUUAAGUUGAAUGAUAUAUUUUAAGCUGAAAUGUCGGUCAACUAACGAAUUAAUGUUUGUAGGUAUGGAUCUGGGCAGUUCUAGCGGCGUGGGACCGACCUCCGAGUGGGAGGGGCCCGGAUGACCGGAUUCUGCGUAAGCGGGCCAUCCGCUAUCGGAGGAGGCUUGGGGAGCCCUAUACUUUGUAUUCUCCCUUCGGCCAGGUGUCGCGCCGACCCUGUGCGUGCUGGUAUACCUAUAGCUAUCCUGACGAGGUUGUCUUAGCGUUGGAUGACGAGCGUUAUCACCUAGACCAGACGGUCGAGACUUUGCGGGCGCAGCUGGAGGAGGCUAGAGAGUUUAGCCGCUGGCAGGCGGUGCGCGUUAGAGACCUGGAGCGGGAUCUCCGAGACACACACCAGCACCUCUUCGCUAUGAAGAGGCAGCUCAGGGAGAGGGCCCGGAGUAUCACGUUUGAUUGUGGGGUCUUACUAGAUCUGGCCACGGAGGCACCCCCACGAGCUACCGGGACAGAGCAGAUAGGUGAGAUUGGUACGUUAGGUUCCGUAGGGAACCGGGGCCCUAGGGGAGGCGUUUAGGGUCGCUUUUGUAUUUUGAUUAGCUGGCAGAUUACUUUUGUUAGAACUGGCCUGGCUAAUUUCUUUUGUUAUCUGGUUGGUUGACUAGAUUUUUGGAGCCGGAGUGCUCGUGUGUAUAUUGGGUUUUGACCCGACUGGAGGUCGGGUAAUUUGCAUAUCUUUUGGUGUGACUUUGUAAGUAAAUGUAUAUAUGCGAGUAUUAUCUUUUGUACCUAUCCUUUGCGUGCCUUUCGUGUAUCUGUUUUGUGUUUUUGUUUUGUUUCUAGUUUGAAUACUAAGCACACGUUAUGCUUGGAUCCAUAGACUUUUGGCAUUUAAAUGGCCUCCGGUACUCGAGGUAGAGGUAGAGGGCGAAGGUACGCUAUGAUCAACGAAUUAAUUUCGAGGACGAAAUUGUCCUAAGUGGGGGAGAUUGUGAGGCCCCAGUCCGAUCGUAAGUCGAUAUUAGGGUUAUUUGAUAUUCGGUAUGGAAAAUAGGGUUUUAUGGCUAGGAAGGAAACCCUAAUUCGGUUAAGUUUGAAAAUCCUAGUUUACGUAUUAUUAUUAUAAGGUUCAAGCUAUAAUUUAUAUUCGGUAUUCUAGUUUGUGCCUUGACGUAAGUAAAUACAGGAUUUGUUUUAAUUACAAAGGUUUAGUAAGUUUGAAUGAUUAGCAAACCUCUAGUGUUACAAUAUUAGAAAGUUUAAGUGGAAGAUUAUUUAUCGCCCACCUUUUCUACAUUUUCUUUAUUAGAAAAAUUUCCAGGAUAAUUUUUAUGAGUAAAUAUGGGUUUUAGAUGAUUUUUCAAGUAUCGGUUAGCUUUUGAGAAAAUAAGAACGUAUAUCGGAUGUGGGACCCACUGGUGCGGAAAGUUCGGAAAAAUUCGGCCAAUUAGGUUAAAUUCUGGAUACUGUGUAAAAUUUAUCGGGUGCUAAGAGAUAAGUAGAGGAUGUGAAGUGAUUGAUGUGAGAGGAAAAAGAAAAGAUAAGAUUGCAUUUAAGGAGUGACAAGUGGCAACCUUUUAUUGGAUUUGACUUAUGGAACACUAUUCAUGUUUUUGACUUUUGACCCAAUUAGUUAAAUAUCUUAAAAAUUACCACAAAAUUCACUCUUUCUUACCUCCUUAUGGCCGACCCUCUCUAGCAAGAAGAAAGAAAAAACUCUUCAAAGUUUAGCUACUACUUAGCUCAAAUCAACCAAAACAAGUGCUUAAGUUAGUUUCCACUCCAUAAAAACCUUCUCUUGGGUGUUAGUGAGUGAUUUGGUGAAGUUUUCUUGGAGAGCUAAGGUGUCCUACAACUUCCCCUCUCUUGUUUACUAGGUAAGUGAUGCUUAAACUUCCUCCUAUACUUAAUGAUGUUUAAUUUGUGCCUAAUGGGAGCUAAAGUGAUGGAUUAUGUGAUUUAUUUCUUGGUUUGUGAUGAAUUGGUGAAGUUUUUAUUUUUUUGAGAAAUUUUCUGGUUUAAUUUGAUCAUGGUGUUGUGGUUGUUUAUGAUGGUUUAUGAUGAGGGGUUAUGACUCUAGUAGGUGUGAAUUAUUGAUAAAUGCAACCAAUUUUGGGUUUGGUUUGAAAUGGGAAAAGUUAGGGUUUCAUAACCCCCUUUUCUGUCCGGUUUUGGAUCAUGUGGUUAGAGGCUGAAUUGGUCUUUGCUUAAAACAUAAAAGUUGUAGGUAUUGAUGUGUUUGAGGUGCCUGUAAAAUUUCAGGUCAUUUAGAUUAGUGUAGAGUGAGAUAUGUCGAUUUUACUGUUGCUGUUCUGGGUUAAUCAGAAUGUGCGAACUGUGUUUGAAAUGGGUUGUUUUGACUGGUAUUUCUUUGGAUUUGGAUGUUGGUGUCUUAUGAUGAAAUGUAGCUGGAUGUCUUAGCUAUCAUAUGCCUUUGGAAUUUCUGGAUUUGGACUUGUGUAGGCUGAGUUAUGAUGUUUGUACUAGAAUACGGUUUGUGAUCCUGUUUUGCGAUUCUGGUAUAGUGUCUUGCAUUUUUGACCUUGUUACAUUCAAAAUUGGACAAAGUUUCCUUCUUCAACAUUGUAGCCCCUUAAUUCCUGGAUAUCCCUGUAAAUUUUCAGGUUAAAUGGAUUAGUAUAUCCUGAGUUAUAACGAAAUACUCAGACCUGUUGUGACCGUCAAAUUCUGUUACGUUUUUGGAAAGUUUCUGACCGUGAUUUUUUUCGAUUUUGAUAGAGUAUGAUCUGGGUGUCGACUUCUUCAUAAGAAAUGUAGAUCUUGGCCACAGCUUUGAAACGCUAUAAAGUACGUCAAAAUCCGAGUCCCGUAGCUCCAGUUAUGAUCGAAAUAAGAAUGCAUGUCAGAACUGUUUUUAUAUCCGGACAGUUUACGACUGGAACUUUGGCUUCACAUUUGACUAGGUUACAAGCUGUUUAGGCUUGUGACCAAAACACCAAACUUAUAGCCCUAUAUCAGAGAUUUCUAACACCCUUGGAAAUUCAUGAAUCGAAUUUAUAAAACCUGAGAUAUAGCCGAGCAAACAAGGCCUGCCCGUGAAAAUGACCAUUUUCUGGUCAGAUCUGUUUUGGUCCUGAUGACCAAUUUCCGUUCCGAAUUUGGAGUGUCGACCUUCAUGAAAGUUGUUCCAUUUGGAAUGAACCAUCUAACUGCCAAUUUUCAGCUCUUUUGACCAUGUGUAGCAUGGAAAACAGUUUGCACUCAAAACUGACCAUUUGUGUAUUGGCCAGAUUUCGUAAGUGAUUGUGUUUGGUUCAUUUGGGACUGAAGCCUCCAGUUUCAGUUCUGGAUGUCUUCAUAACAGUUGUUGUUCAUCCUUUAAGCUUCGAUAUGGCAUCUCAUACGCCUUAAUCCGAUAUUCGUAGCUCAACUUAUGAGUAAACUAGAAACGAGUGUCAAAUCUGCCGUUUCCGCUAACGGCCGUUUCCGUUUCCGUCCGUCGUAUUGACGUGCGCGCGUGUCGUUUUUGCCGUUUUGCUUGUUUUAGGCACGAUAGUAGCCGUUUACGAUAUUAUGUAACACAAUCUUCUAUUUCAGACGGUGGUGAGCUGGGCGGAACUGGUGGGGCCCACUACUAGCUGUUCAUUUCGAUCCGACUUCGUGUUUUUGCUAUUUCAGAUUCUGAGUAAGUAUUCAGGCCAGUUUGGUGUGUUUUUUUUGCUAUGUGUUUGAGAUGUGUGAAAAGGGUACUUAGGCGAGGGUGUACUUUAUCGCACUCGACCUAAACCCUAAUUUGAAUGUAUAAUUGUACUUGGCAUAUGUAUAUGAACCUUUUGGAACCAAAACCCUUGAGCUUGUGGCUCGGGGCGACUUUCGAGUAAAGUUUGUGAAGUUUGCAAAGUUUGUGAGUUCGUGGGCCCGAUCUAAGACCUGUAUGGACUAUUCGAGCCGGUUAGGGCUUGGUCGAAAUCAGUCCAACUUAGUCUGAGGUCACCAAGUUUGUAGGUUCAUGUUAUGAACCAAUUUUGUGAAUCCGAUUCACCGAGAAGGUGACCAAGUUUGUGAACCGAGCUUGCGCCGCAAGUUCAAUUUCAUUCGCUCGAGCAAGUUUGUGAGGUGACUGGCCAGUGAGGGUGAUAAGGUGCUCGGUGGGUGUACAAGCGGGGUUCUACGGACUAUUAUUUGCGGUCGACGGAGUGUCGGCAGGAGAUCACGUAUGGCAUAUGAAUUGGCUUUGGAGCCACCUGUAUCCUUAUUAUGUGAUGUUACUUUUCUGCUUUUGCUUUAUUCCUACUGUGUAAAUGUGGUUACGUGAAAUUUACGUUUUACCCUGUUUACUUACUAAGCUUCUAUCUUACCCCGUUUCCUUUGUUUUCCUUAGCAGGGGACGACGCGGGGAACUUUGGGACUCUGCCGUUAGUAUAGUUAGGUCUCGUUUGUAAUAGUUGGACAGUUAGGAUGUUUGUUCUAGUUUUGGUGGUUUGUAUAAGGACCUUCCUUAGGGUCUAUGUUUUGGUUUUGGUGGCAAUUAUAAGGAUGUAAUAGUGUGAGCAGGUACUUUUGAGAAUGUAAUUAUAACUCUUUUGGGAUUGUAUAUAGAAAUCUUUUGAAUUUUCUGGCGUUUAUUGUUUUAAGUUUUGAGUCCUGGCACGAGCUAGGCAGGCGGCCCGCCGAUACCCUCGGGUUCGCCCUUGGGAGAAGUGGGGUCGUCACACAGUUUCUAGUGUAUCCAAGUUAUAUUCCCAAUUUACAGAACCGGAUUCCUACCAACAGGCUAGUUCACUGCACUACAUUCAAAUGGCCAUAACUCAACCUACCAAAGUCCGAUUAAGGCGUUCUCAGGGGCGUUGGAAAUUUAAGACAUAGUAAUACAACUUUCAUGUUUUGGCUAAAUGUUAGUUCAGUACGUAUCAAGGUGAAAAGAUACGAUCAGAUUGGUGAAAUAUUCAAAACUAAUCACUGGAUUCACCUAGGGCAGUCAGGGUAUUUCGGUCUUUUCACAGGCUACGUUACUCCAAUUAAGCUGAAAUUUUACAGGCAACUAUAAAAUAUCAUUCUCUACAACUUUUAUGUUUUAUGUUAAGCCUAAUUUGGCCUCUAACAUGGUGAACUAGAUCCAGGCAGAACAGGGUGCAUACUAACUUCAAUUCUGGAAAUUUGCUACAAUCAAGGUAUAAGUCACAUUUCUAGCUUAAAACCAUCACUACCACCUCAUAUACAAGCUUAUAUACAUCAUAUACCAUCCACACAAUAAGUAUGAUAAGUGACUCAUUCAAACCCUAACUCAAAUUCAUCACCCCCCAACCAUCCAAAAUCACUUGAUAUAAGCAUUACAAGCACCCUUGAACCACAAAUAAGCAAACAACAAAUCUAGUAUUAAAAGUAAAAAGAGAUUUCUUGGCAAGAUACCUUAAAACCACAAGAAGAUAGUGGUUUAGUCUUUCCUCCUCCAAAACAACUCCACCAAAACCAUCAAGCUUCCUAGUUGACCACUUGUAUGGAGUAGAUUCAAGUUUGGUUGGCUAGAUCACAAGAUUUGAGCAAGUUUGGAAGCUAAACUUGAAGAGCUCUUCCUUUUGUUUUCUCCUCAAGAGCAGCCGGCCAAGACAAGGAAAUAUGAGAGAAAAUUGGUCAAAAAUUGGUUUUAGUAAAGGUGAUGAAUAGUAAGUCAAAAGCCAUCCUCCAACCGGUUUGCGACACAUGGCACCUUGAAUGUUUUAAACUUAUCUUUUCACUCCCAAUGAUUCUUGUAUCUAGCUAACCUCUAAUCAUUUCCUAGCACCUUGUAAAAUAAUAACACUUAGCACAAAAAUCACUUAGUCACCAAAAUUAUAUCGCACUAGCGGGUCCCACGUCUAUAACGCACUUCAAAUUAACGUACACUAACUCAUAUGAUUUGAAAACUGUACUUAUUUAUAAAAAUGCAUAGAAAAUUUAAUAUUGCCAAGGAAAGUAUAAAAUGGAGGAAAAAAAUAAAAUAAUACUGAGAAAAUGUGAAAAUUUUUGGGUUCUCACAAAAACAAAACUAACGGAAUGAGCUAAAAGCCCAGUGAGGUUCCAUACACAUAGCCAAGUAAUUAAACAAGGACAUUAAUCAUGUAAUAACAAGUAAUCUAGAAAACGUUUACAAUAUAAAGCAAUGAUAACACACUCAUUAAAAGGAUACAUGCUCACGUGGAGCCCUUCGUUCAUUCCUUCCACCAAUCAUUUCCUUAUUCCUUCAGUCAUUAAAAAUUAUAUUUGUAAGUGAAAAUCCCCCCAUUAUUCUUGCCAUUCAUUCAUUCAUUUCAUUUUCCCCCUACUGGACAUUGGCCAGUCUCCACCAGACUUCGUGGUCAUACUCGAGUAUACCAAACAUUAACCCAGGGUCACCAAUCGCUCGACCGAGUCCGCUUCUAGCUCGAGUCGACCGGCAACAAAAGGCAAGGGUCCAGUUCAGCCAAAAGGCUUACAUUCAUGUACAAGUAGUAUUUAAACAUUUAAUCAUUGUAAAUUUCACAUUCAUUUAGGUCGAGUGCGAUAAAAUACACACUCGCCUAGCAAAAUUCAUUUUUAAAAAUCAUUGAAAACAUUUAACAUUUAAUCCAACAUUCACAAAUAGUCACAUAGUCACAACAAUCCACAUAGUCAUUGGAAACAUAACGUACAAAGAACACUCACCUAUUUAAGCAAAAUAAUGUCCAAAGUUUCUUUCCGGAUAAUACCCUCAAUCACCAAGGAACCCUAAUAAUAACCAUGAGAAAAUAUUACAGUUACCAUCCAAAGUUUAGGUGAACCAAAGAAAAUUCGAAUAACUACUAGUACAAAGUAUAAGUAUAGUUUUAGAAGUGAAAAGAGUACAUUUAAACCAAAGGCCAUGAGUAAAAUAUUUGUAAAACUUAUGCUCGCUCGUAAAACUUUGAAAUCUCCAUUUGAAUCGAAGAAACAAAGAAAACGUAUUUCUAUUAGUCGUAAAUUUCAUUUUUCCAAGGGUACAAGUUUCGACCAGAUUCUAACUUAUAUACCUCUAAUAAAGAAGAUUUGAAUACCUUAGAUGAUUCAAGUUAGUUUCAUCCUCAACCCUUACUCAAGUCGCGAGUACAUCUACCUAGCCCUCGAGUGCAAAUUUGGGCAGCACGCCCUUUGUAUUUACCUAUUUUCCAGCCAUUUAUGGCUUCAUUAUUUUCCUCAAUCAACCCCCGAAAUCACCCACAAAUAAUCUCAUUACAAUAGCCGUUCAAUAGGCUAAAAGUCAUUCCAUUCCAAAACCAAGUUAGAAAAGUGACCGGAAAUAAGGUUUAAGGUAAAGAACAAAAUGACAGGUUUGACGUCUCUUAGCGUAUCGGUCACAACUGAAGCUACGCUGAUACGAUUGGAGUACAAUUUAUACCGUUUCGAAACUAAGACAAAGGGCUACAACUUUCAUGAAUACAACUCAGCCUGGUUCAUAGUUUAUCUAGGUCGAAUUUACAGAUUACAGAAUCAGAAUUUCACUGUUAGGCUGGAUAACAGCACUGGGUUCAAAUGACAAUAACUCAGGCUACACAAGUCCGAUUGAGACGUUUUCAGAUGCGUUGGAAAGCUAAAACAUAAAACUACAACUUUCAUGUUUUGGUCAACUGCUGAUUUAAUACGGAUCAAGGUAAAAAAUGAAGCCAAAAUGAUGAAAUGUCAAAACUUUCCGCAAAACUCUACCUAUGGCAGUCAAGGGUAUUUUUGGUAUUUCAUUGAUACAGUACUCGGAUUGAGUUGAAAUUUUACAGACAGCUAUAAAACAUCAUUUCCUACAACUUUCAUGUUUUAUGCUAAGCCCAAUUCAGCCUUUAUCAUGGCCAAAUGAAACUGGUCAGAAUAGGGCAGAAUUCUCUACUAAAGCUGAAAUUUAACACCCAAGCUGAAAAUUCCUUUAGGCAAAUUAAACUAACAUCAAAACACUAGAUUUUUCACAUAUCAAAGCUAAUAAAUCAUGGCCAACCAUUAAUCAUCACAUGAGGGCAGAAAAUUCUCUAAGAAAACUGAAAAUUCCUCAAUCAUUACUUCAAAUCACAAUAUUUCUCAUAAAACUACAUAUUUCUUAUUUCUAAACCACUAAUAUGCCAUUACUAGAUGUAAAGAAGGAUUUUCUUGACAAUAUACCUUAUGACCACAAGGAAAAAUGGUUGCUUAGACCUUCCUCCUCCAAAAUAACUCCACCAAAACCUUUAAACCUCCUUAGUGAACACUUGUAUGGUGUAGUUUCCAAUUUGGUUGGCUAAAACUCAAGAUUUGAGCAAAUUUGGAAGCUAGAAAAGAAAGUUUCUCUUCUUGUUUUUCUCCUCAAAACAGCCGGCCAAGAAGCAAGAAAAAUAAAGGAAUUUUUGGUCAAAUUUUGGUUUAGUAAAGGUGAGAAAGUCUUGGUCAAGUCCAACAUCCAAUCGGUUCGCGACACGUGGCACCUUGAAUGUUUUAAGCUUAUCUUCCUUCUCCCAAUGGUUAAUCUAUCUAACUAACCUCUAAUCAUCUCCUAGAACCGUAUAAAAUAAUAACAUUUAGCACAAAAAUCACUUAGUCACCAAAAUUUUAUCGCACUAGCGGGUCCCACGUCUAUAAUGCACUUCAAAUUUAACGUACACUAACUUGUACUAGUGUCGCGCCCCAUUUUUUACAAGAAAAAUAAAUAGUUUGAAAAGUGAAUUUUUGAUUUACAAAGAAAAUGAAGAAAAAAAAUAUGGGUCUAAAUGGGACUUGAAAAUGCGACGAUUUGACCCAAAAUAAUAGUUUAAAAAGGGUUUUUUUGAACAAAAAUCGGAGUCGCCACUUGGUAUUGAGUUAAGGUGUACCAAGUCACCUAAAAUGAGUUUUCAAAGGAAAAAAGUAGAAAAACCCCUUUUAAACGACUCCUAGUCCACGAAAAUCAAAGGAAAGGUUCGGGAGUCACAUUUGACGAAGGGGAAGGCAAGGAUAAAAAUCCAAGGCACCCCUUCGACGUAGCCAAGGCUAGUUGCGUAAUUUAGUCAAGGAUUCUCUUAUUUUUAACCAAAGAAUUUAUCACAUUUGGAUGCACUAUAUGAAUGCAAAACCUAGACCUAUGGGGACAUCGGGGGGCAAAAUUUCUCUUCAAAGCUUGAGUGGUGCCAAUCACAUUAAUAGUGAUGCCCAAUAAUGACCCUUUGGAGAGAUCACGAAUAAUGCUAAUGACGUAAAAUGAGUGGAAUGAAUGUAUGCAAUGUGAAAAUUUGAGUUUGUGUGAAGUGGAAAAGUAAUAUAUAAAAAACAAUGGUGUGCAAAUGGAUGUGCAAAGUGAGGUAAGUAAAGUGAUAGUAUGAAGUGCAUGUGUGCACGUGAUAGCAUAUAAAGUGCUAGUGGUAGAGUGAGAAUGUGUAAGAUAAGCGUCAUGUGCAAUAUGAAAUGCAUGAGCCCUAGAGGAAUGCAAGCAAGAUGGGUAUGGGGGCCCCUAAAUCGUGACUUGAUUUACCUUUUGGUUAGAAGGGAAAACUAGCGUGCUAAGGCUAUGUGUAGCCAUACUCGCUCAUCCCCCUUACCAAAAGAGUGACUCCCUAACCUAUACAAGCAAAUGAGCAAAUCUAAAUGAAAAUGUAAUCCUAAAUAUGUAAGGGAAAAGGAGUAAAGGGUCAUGCAAAAAUGCAAAGCUAAAAGGAAAGAAUGAAUGAAGAUGUAAUGAAGGCAUGCAAGUAUGUGCUUGCGCGUGGACGGCCCUAAUGGAUCUAGCAUUGGACUAGCCCUUCACUAACGCUUUUUCACAAGCAUUGGACUUGCGAGAAUUCGAGGGGGAAGACCAUGACUAGCAUUGGACUAGCCACGGUGACGUACAUUCAUCUAUAUAAGCAAAUAUAAAUAAAAGCAAGUAGACAUGCGAGUCACGUAUUUUCACAUAACACAUAGCACAUAAGCAUGCUUAUCUAGAUGCCAAAACCUAGGGAAAGCGAUUAAACACAUAGCACCUAAGCAUGCAAAACACAUAAGGCAAUUAAGACAAAUAAAACCCUAACUAUUACAUUCGGGGGGAGAAACCUACUACAAUCUAAGAGGGAAGGAAUUAAAUGAAAUGAUAUAAUAGCCUAACUAUUACAAUUGUGGCAUUCAAGUGCCUUUCAAAUGAUCAAAAAUUGAACUAAAUUAAAAUACUAAAUUAAAACAAAUAAAGCGAAUAAAUAAAUAAAUAAAAUGAAAGCAUUCAAAUAGCAUGCAAUUGAGCACAUAAAGUCACAUAAGGCACAUAAGGUCAAAUAAAGUCAAGAAUAAAGGAUAGAGUGUACCUCCCUUGAGUUGGAGUUCCAAUGAAAC
rnacentral:lncRNA from 1 species